rnacentral:tRNA from 1 species
AAGAAUUUAAGUUAAAAAAAACUUUUAACCUUCAAAGUUAACAAUAGGAUUUAUUCCUAAUUCUU